ensembl:snRNA U6 U6 spliceosomal RNA
GUGCUUGCUUUGGCAGCGCAUAUACUAAAAUUGGUACGAUACAGAGAAGAUUAGUGUGGCCCCUGGACAAGGAUGACAUGCAAAUUCGUGAAGCAUUCUAUAUUAAA